rnacentral:snoRNA from 1 species
CCUGGCCUUUUCUGAAGCUGCAGCUACUUCAAGUAGCUGCUGGGGUCAAAGAGGAGCGAGUGUCACUUUCCUCUGAAGGUCACUGUUUGGUUUGCGAUAGCUGAUCUGUAACAUUGAGGGUAAAGACAGAA